rnacentral:rRNA from 1 species
ACGGAAGGCAGCAGUGAGGAAUAUUGGUCAAUGGGCGGAAGCCUGAACCAGCCAAGUCGCGUGAAGGAUGAAGGUAUUAUGUAUUGUAAACUUCUUUAGACGCAGAGAAAUAAGAGGGUCGUGACCCUUGAUGCUAGUAUGCGUAGAAUAAGGAUCGGCUAACUCCGUGCCAGCAGCCGCGGUAAUACGGAGGAUCCGAGCGUUAUCCGGAUUUAUUGGGUUUAAAGGGAGCGUAGGCGGACGUUUAAGUCAGCUGUGAAAGUCUGCGGCUCAACCGUAGAAUUGCAGUUGAAACUGGAUGUCUUGAGUGCACGCAGGGAUGCCGGAAUUCGUUGUGUAGCGGUGAAAUGCUUAGAUAUGACGAAGAACUCCGAUCGCGAAGGCAAGUGUCCGGAGUGCAACUGACGCUGAGGCUCGAAAGUGUGGGUAUCAAACAGGAUUAGAUACCCUGGUA